GCGGCCGCUGGGAGCGGGGUUCGAUCCCGUGAUGCCGCGUGGGUGCCGGCCAGAGAAGAGCUCCGGAGGCCGGGGCGGCCGGCGGGCGUGCGAAUGUCAUCUUUCCCAACAAGUUGUUCCCAGCAGAAUCCUCUCUCCUGGCACAAAACAAGCAGAUGAAGAGCAGCCCUGAGAGGUAGACACAGCGGAGAUUUUUUUCACCCGCAUUGUACAGAAGAGAAAAUGAAGCUUUGCCCAACCUGCAGGAGAUCCCCUCACCUUGCAAAAGAGCCAAGCUGUGGGAUCUUCAGUCCCUGGACCAUUUAGCUUGACUAAGAGAACAGGAAUGGAGGCCAAAAGAUCUACAAAAUGCUCACACAGAGAAGAUGACAGCUUCUACAAAUAAAUGUCAAUCAGUUCAUUUCCCC
rnacentral:lncRNA from 1 species